GACGGAGGAUGCAAGUGUUAUCCGGAAUCACUGGGCGUAAAGCGUCUGUAGGUGGUCAAAUAAGUCAACUGUUAAAUCUUGAGGCUCAACCUCAAAAUCGCAGUCGAAACUAUUCGACUAGAGUAUAGUAGGGGUAAAGGGAAUUUCCAGUGGAGCGGUGGAAAUGCGUAGAGAUUGGAAAGAACACCGAUGGCGAAGGCACUUUACUGGGCUAUUACUAACACUGAGAGACGAAAGCUAGGGUA
rnacentral:rRNA from 1 species